AUUGAACGCUGGCGGCAGGCCUAACACAUGCAAGUCGAGCGGAUGAAGGGAGCUUGCUCCUGGAUGCAGCGGCGGACGGGUGAGUAAUGCCUAGGAAUCUGCCUGGUAGUGGGGGAUAACGUCCGGAAACGGGCGCUAAUACCGCAUACGUCCUGAGGGAGAAAGUGGGGGAUCUUCGGAACUCACGCUAUCAGAUGAGCCUAGGUCGGAUUAGCUAGUUGGUGGGGUAAAGGCCUCCCAAGGCGACGAUCCGUAACUGGUCUGAGAGGAUGAUCAGUCACACUGGAACUGAGACACGGUCCAGACUCCUACGGGAGGCAGUAGUGGGGAAUAUUGGACAAUGGGCGAAAGCCUGAUCCAGCCAUGCCGCGUGUGUGAAGAAGGUCUUCGGAUUGUAAAGCACUUUAAGUUGGGAGGAAGGGCAGUAAGUUAAUACCUUGCUGUUUUGACGUUACCAACAGAAUAAGCACCGGCUAACUUCGUG
rnacentral:rRNA from 1 species